UCCCUGAUGGUCUAGUGGCCAGGAUUCGGCGCUUUCACUGCCGUGACCCGGGUUCGAUUCCCGGUCAGGAAA
rnacentral:tRNA from 1 species